UUUAAAAAUAAUUUAUUUAUUUAUUGUUUUAGUAUUAAGUAAAAAUUAAUUUUAAGAUUUAUAGUUAAUUAGUAUUGUAAAAGAAUUUAUUUAAAUUAUAAAAAGAAUUUUAAUAGUACCUUUUGUAUCAGGGUUGAUUAAAAAUUUUUAAUUAUUUUAAAUUUCUCAAAAUUUAUGGAGUUAAUUUUAUUAUAAAUUUAUUGUGGUAUAAAUAUUUAUUAAAUAAUAUUAGUUUUGAAAUUUAACUCGUUAUAAAAUAUUUAGUUAUUUAAGAUUUAAAUUUAAUUUAAAAAUUUAAAAGUUUAAUUAUUUUAGAUAAAUAAUAUAAUUUUAAAUUUAAAUUAUUUUAGGGAUAAGCUUGAAAUUUAUAUAUAAUUUUUUUUUUUUUAAUAAUAUAUAGGAAUAGAAAUUUUUAUUUUAAGUUUGUAAAAAUUUAUUAUUUUUAAAUAUUUUAUUUAUUAUAAAUUAAAAUUUAUUUUUAAUAUUAAUUUAUAUUAAUUAAUAAAUAAUUAAUAGUAAUAAUGAUUAAAUUAGUAUAAUAUGUAAUUAUAAAUUAUGAAUUCGGCAAAUAAUAUUUUCAUCUGUUUAACAAAAACAUUGUAUUAAGUUUUAUUUAAUAUAGGAUCUGCUCAAUGAUUUUAUUAAAUAGCUGCAGUAUUUUGACUGUGCAAAG
rnacentral:rRNA from 1 species